rnacentral:rRNA from 1 species
AGAGUUUGAUCCUGGCUCAGGAUGAACGCUGGCGGCGUGCUUAACACAUGCAAGUCGAACGAAGCGCCCAAAGACAAGACUUCGGUCAAGUCGGAGGGAUGACUUAGUGGCGGACGGGUGAGUAACGCGUGGGUAACCUGCCUCAUGCAGGGGGACAACAGUUGGAAACGACUGCUAAUACCGCAUAGGACCACACUAUCGCAUGAUAGAGGGGUGAAAGAUUUAUCGGCAUGAGAUGGACCCGCGUAGGAUUAGCUAGUUGGUGAGGUAACGGCCCACCAAGGCGACGAUCCUUAGCCGACCUGAGAGGGUGAUCGGCCACAUUGGGACGGAGACACGGCCCAAACUCCUACGGGAGGCAGCAGUGGGGAAUAUUGGACAAUGGGGGAAACCCUGAUCCAGCGACGCCGCGUGAGUGAAGAAGUAUUUCGGUAUGUAAAGCUCUUUAAGCAGGAAAGAUAGUGACGGUACCUGCAGAAUAAGUCCCGGCUAACUACGUGCCAGCAGCCGCGGUAAUACGUAGGGGACAAGCGUUAUCCGGAUUUACUGGGUGUAAAGGGAGCGUAGACGGCAUGGCAAGUCUGAAGUGAAAGCCCGUGGCUUAACUGCGGGACUGCUUUGGAAACUGUCAAGCUAGAGUGUCGGAGAGGUGAGUGGAAUUCCCAGUGUAGCGGUGAAAUGCGUAGAUAUUGGGAGGAACACCAGAGGCGAAGGCGGCUCACUGGACGAUAACUGACGUUGAGGCUCGAAAGCGUGGGGAGCAAACAGAAUUAGAUACCCUGGUAGUCCACGCUGUAAACGAUGAA